rnacentral:rRNA from 1 species
UACGGGGGGGGCAAGCGUUGUUCGGAAUUACUGGGCGUAAAGGGCGCGUAGGCGGUUCGCUAAGUUGGAUGUGAAAACUCUGGGCUUAACCCAGAGCCUGCAUCCAAAACUGGCAAACUUGAGUACUGGAGGGGAAAGCGGAAUUCCUGGUGUAGCGGUGAAAUGCGUAGAUAUCAGGAGGAACACCCGUGGCGAAGGCGGCGUGCUGGGUUGCAACUGACGCUGAGAUGCGAAAGUGUGGGGAGCAAACGGG